AGUGAACGCUGGCGGUAGGCCUAACACAUGCAAGUCGAACGGCAGCACAGGAGAGCUUGCUCUCUGGGUGGCGAGUGGCGGACGGGUGAGGAAUACAUCGGAAUCUGCCCAGUCGUGGGGGAUAACGUAGGGAAACUUACGCUAAUACCGCAUACGACCUUCGGGUGAAAGAGGGGGAUCGCAAGACCUCUCGCGAUUGGAUGAGCCGAUGUCGGAUUAGCUAGUUGGCGGGGUAAUGGCCCACCAAGGCGACGAUCCGUAGCUGGUCUGAGAGGAUGAUCAGCCACCCUGGAACUGAGACACGGUCCAGACUCCUACGGGAGGCAGCAGUGGGGAAUAUUGGCCGAUGGGCGCAAGCCUGAUCCAGCCAUACCGCGUGGGUGAAGAAGGCCUUCGGGUUGUAAAGCCCUUUUGUUGGGAAAGAAAUCUUUCAGGCUAAUACCCUGGGAGGAUGACGGUACCCAAAGAAUAAGCACCGGCUAACUUCGUG
rnacentral:rRNA from 1 species